GGGGAGUUCAUGAUGCGGUUCGGGAGUCUGGAGGCGAGGGUCGAGCUAGAACAACUUUUCGGGGGGGUAAGUCUGGCAGGCAAACCUGCCCUGCCGUUUACCCACUACUACAGUCAAACUCAUGCAGAGCCCCAGCCGGAGGUUAACCUGGCUACCUCAGAGCUCGAACCUGAGACCCAUGAGGUGGGCUCACCUGCCGAGCUCCAGCUAGAGGUCAACAGGGAGACUCCAGCACCAGAGCUCAACCCUGAGGUCCUGGUCCAAGUCAAGUGUCAAGUCUCCGAAGUCCAAGUCAAGAUUCAUGUCCCUGAGGUCCAAGUCCAAGUCCAGUCUCUAGUCUCUGAAGUCCAAGUCAAGUCUCCAGUCUCUGAAGUCCAAGUCAAGUCUCAAGUCUCUGAAAUCCAAGUCAAGUCUCAAGUCCCUGAGGUCCAAGUCCAAGUCAAGUCUCCAGUCACUGAAGUCCAAGUCAAGUCUCAAGUCUCUGAAAUCCAAGUCAAGUCUCAAGUCCCUGAAGUCCAAGUCCAGUCUCCAGUCUCUGAAGUCCAAGUCAAGUCUCAAGUUCCUGAUGU
ensembl:lncRNA